rnacentral:lncRNA from 1 species
CUUCAAGUCCCAUGUUCAGUUGUUUUGGACCUCCAUUGUUCCCCAACUAGUUCCACCGGCCCCAUCAUUGGACUUGAAGGUUUUCUCUUCCAUAUGGGCAUCUUGUGUAUCUUACUUUUCAUUCCUCAAUCAGACCGUUCAGUUUGCUUUUGCAUACAAUUUCCAUCCACUUUCAAAGAGACAUAUUGUGUUUUAGAUUUACUUUUCUGCUGGAAUAUGUGCAACUAGUCUUUUAAACUCAAAGGCACCUCUUCCUCUUCGGAGGCUGCCCAUUUCCC